rnacentral:rRNA from 1 species
UACAGGGGGUGCAAACGUUGCUCGGAAUCAUUGGGCGUAAAGCGCACGUAGGCGGUCUGUUAUGUCGGAUGUGAAAGCCCUCGGCUCAACUGAGGAAGUGCAUCCGAAACUGGCAGGCUAGAGUACUAAAGAGGGUCGCGGAAUUCCCGGUGUAGAGGUGAAAAUUCGUAGAUAUCGGGAGGAACACCGGUGGCGAAGGCGGCGACCUGGGUAGAUACUGACGCUGAGGUGCGAAAGCGUGGGGAGCAAACAGG